AGCCUUGAUUCUCCUUCAUUUACACGACAAAAUCUUUUGCCUUUUACUAAAGAUUUCCGUGUAGGAGAAAACCACAAUGGGUAAGGGUAUUUUUUGCCGCCCGCCGGAUUUUCCAGGCGG